rnacentral:lncRNA from 1 species
CUCCAGGUGUUCAAGGCUGGAGGGCAGAGAACACAAUUUGGAUGGUUUUGUGAUUGGCGGCACAUCCCUGGACCCACAGUUCAGGAUUAGAGAAUUUCCAGCUGCACAGAAUGUCCUUGGAAGGCUGACCCAGACCAUCUUGAGGAGGGACAUGAUUCAUCUCCAGGAGCUGCUGGUCCACAGAGGUGGCCUGUUUCCUAUGUUAGAAGGAGCCGCUCAGCACCCAGGGAAAAGAGAGAGGGGUGA